GACGAACGCUGGCGGCGUGCUUAACACAUGCAAGUCGAGCGGUAAGGCCCUUUCGGGGGUACGACGAGCGGCGAACGGGUGAGUAACACGUGGGUGACCUGCCCUCAGCUCUGGGAUAAGCCUGGGAAACCGGGUCUAAUACUGGAUAUGACUCCAUGACGCAUGUUGUGGGGUGGAAAGCCUUGUGCGGCUGAGGAUGGGCCCGCGGCCUAUCAGCUUGUUGGUGGGGUGAUGGCCUACCAAGGCGACGACGGGUAGCCGGCCUGAGAGGAUGAUCAGCCACACUGGGACUGAGAUACGGCCCAGACUCCUACGGGAGGCAGCAGUGGGGAAUAUUGGACAAUGGGGGAAACCCUGAUCCAGCAAUGCCGCGUGAGUGAAGAA
rnacentral:rRNA from 1 species